UAGAGAUAGAGCGUUCCCCUUCGGGGGACAGAGUGACAGGUGGUGCAUGGUUGUCGUCAGCUCGUGUCGUGAGAUGUUGGGUUAAGUCCCGCAACGAGCGCAACCCUUGAUCUUAGUUGCCAGCAUUUAGUUGGGCACUCUAAGGUGACUGCCGGUGACAAACCGGAGGAAGGUGGGGAUGACGUCAAAUCAUCAUGCCCCUUAUGACCUGGGCUACACACGUGCUACAAUGGAUGGUACAAAGGGCUGCAAGAC
rnacentral:rRNA from 1 species